rnacentral:sRNA from 1 species
UUGCAAUAGGGAUAGGAGUGGAAAUCCUUUUUUUUGUAAAAAAAAGAUUGCAACGGAUAGCCCGACCCGAG